rnacentral:rRNA from 1 species
UAGGGAAUCUUCCGCAAUGGGCGAAAGCCUGACGGAGCAACGCCGCGUGAGUGAUGAAGGUCUUCGGAUCGUAAAACUCUGUUAUUAGGGAAGAACAAAUGUGUAAGUAACUAUGCACGUCUUGACGGUACCUAAUCAGAAAGCCACGGCUAACUACGUGCCAGCAGCCGCGGUAAUACGUAGGUGGCAAGCGUUAUCCGGAAUUAUUGGGCGUAAAGCGCGCGUAGGCGGUUUUUUAAGUCUGAUGUGAAAGCCCACGGCUCAACCGUUGAGGGUCAUUGGAAACUGAAAAGCUUGAGUGCAGAAGAGGAAAGUGGAAUUCCAUGUGUACCAGUGAAAUGCGCAGAAAUAUGGAGGAACACCAGUGGCAAAGGCGACUUUCUGGUCUGUAACUGACGCUGAUGUGCGAAAGCGUGGGGAUCAAACAGA